UUCAGGCAAUGUCAACGUAAUCGAGGAAAAUAAUAGCCACAUCUUUUUUCAUCUGCAGGUGCGGAAGACCUACUUAAAACCUGAGAGUCUCGAAUAGGAGAGGCGCUUUCAGAUCAGCCCGAGUCUUCUGCAGCGCACAGGAGCUAGUCGUACUGAAAAGAAUGAAGUUGGACUUGUCCAGGCGAGUUUCGGACAGUGCUGGGCUGCCCUGCUCUGAUCUCCUGGGUGUCUUCACCUCCUCUGGUUCCUAAGUCGGCUGCUGCACCAGCACCCAUCAAACUCUCCUGGAAGAGGAAGUGACAGCUCACCGGUAGCCUAGAAGGCCCCUGUGGGCAGAAGCAUGGACUUACUCCUCCUCAUGGAGAUGCGGCUGAGCCAUAUUUCCUUGGCACCUCUCUGGAACCUUCGACAACCACCACCUCAGACACUAACCAGACUUUAGGUCCAUUCCUUUCAUGGCUAAAAUGAGACAGUCCACAAUGUUGAUUUUAUUUGUAGGGGAUGUCAGGAUUCCAGAAAAGCAGACUUGGAAAGCAACAAAACGUUAACUUGCAGCUCACUGAGGCCCUUACACUUGUUCUGGGCACCUCUGUAUGUUAAAAGAAGUCCAAUAUCUUUAGCUGCUGGUUAUAGGUGGCCAUAUGUUUCUGCACAGAAAUGGGGCUCCCCUUGCUAGACUAAUUUUCUAAUUUUUCCUCAAGCUUCAUUGAUUCAUAUUCUUCUACUUGACCCUGACUGUCAGGACCAACAACACCAAAUAACACCAAAGUCUCUUGCUCCUGUCCUCAGAACCUCUCAGAGGCAUCCUCUGCCCUGUUGGAGCCAUUUUAUUUCAGGUUGAUCCUUAAUUAAAUUCAGCGAGAUGCAGGACCUGUGUGUGUGAGUGUGGAUCUUGUGUGUGAAUGUGGACCUGUGUGUGUGAACGUGGGCCUGUGUGAGUGUGGGCCUGUGUGUGAGAGUGGACCUGUGUGUGUGAGUGUGGGCCUGUGUGUGAGUGUGGAUGUGUGUGUGUGAGUGUGGGCCUGUGUGUGUGAGUGUGGACCUGUGUGUGUGAGUGUGGGCCUGUGUGUGAGUGUGCAACUGUGUGUGUGUGAAUGUGGAUCUGUAUGUGAACAUGGACCUGUGUGUGUGUGUGUGGACCUGUGUGUGUGAAUGUGGAUCUGUAUGUGAACGUGGACCUGUGUGUGUGUGUGUGGACCUGUGUGUGUGAAUGUGGAUCUGUAUGUGUGAAUGUGGACCUGUGUGUGUGAGCAUGGUAUUUACAAUCAGCAGGAAGAAGCCUGGAAAUGAGUCCUGAUUAAAUGAGAAUCUAAAUACAGAACAAGUACCCUAGGAGUUCUAGAAAGAUGAAUAAUUCUCAACCCAGCAUAGUAACAGCAGCUUACAAUAUGUUUGUGUAUGUCAUAAUGGAGUGGUUUCUGUUACAUGUGUAAUGCUGGUAUCAUAAGAAGAGUAUUGUCAUGCUCACAGGAUGUCAGGUACAGAAGGUUAUAACUGCUUUGUUGUGUUACUUAUCUACUGCUGCAUAACAAAUUACCACAAACUUCGUACUUUUAAACAGCACAUUUAUUAUUUCACAGUUCCUGUGGGUCAGGAGUCCAGGCACAGUUUAGCUGAUUCCUCUGUUUUAGAUUCUCUUACGGUGCUUUAAUCCGGGAGUCAGUCAGGGCUGGGGAUCUUAUCUGCAGCUUGACCGGGGAAGGUUCUGCUUCCAAAAUCAUGUGGUUGUUGACAGAAUUCAGUUCCUUGAGGGUUGUUGGCCUGAGGGCCUCAGCUUCUUGUGGGCCCUCAGCCAGAGGCCACCCUCAGUUCUUCUCCAGGACCUCUCUCUAUGGCAGCUUACUCCAUCAAAGCCAGCAAGGGAGACAGUUGACAGCAAAAGUCGGCUAGUAAGAUGGGUGUUCAAGUCCGCUGGAAUAUAUUAAUAUCAUGACACUGACGUCCACCACCAUCGCCAUAUUCUGUUGGUUAGAAACAAGUCACAGGUGCCACCCACACUGGAGGGAAGGGAUCCCACAAGGGUGGGUACACCAGGGAGCAUGGACCAUGGAGCCUCCUGGGAGUCUGUCUCCCAUAUUCACUUCACCCACAAGUAAACUGAGUCCCCAAAUUGGGGUGUGCCCUGGCCACAAUCUCAGUGAGUUAGUUUAGUGGCUAGACUCAAAUCUAGGACAAUUAUU
rnacentral:lncRNA from 1 species